UCACCGCUGUUGUCUCCGUCGCUU
rnacentral:siRNA from 1 species